UACAGAGGGAGCAAGCGUUAUCCGGAAUGAUUGGGCGUAAAGCAUUCGUAGGUGGUAGGUGAAGUCUACUGUCAAAUACCAGGGCUCAACCUUGGACAGGCAGUGGAGUACUCAUUUACUAGAGCGUGGUAGAGGUAGAGGGAAUUCCCGGUGUAGCGGUGAAAUGCGCAGAUAUCGGGAGGAACACCGGUGGCGAAGGCGGUUCUCUGGGCCUUACCUGACGCUGAGGAGCGAAAGCGUGGGGAGCGAACAGG
rnacentral:rRNA from 1 species